rnacentral:lncRNA from 1 species
AAAGAUUGGCCCCUAGUUUCGCACAUUCGCUGCAUCGUGAUUGAACGUGUGCUCGUCACACGAUCAUAUAUCUUGCUUUACAAUCCUCCUUUUACCAAGAUCUCACUCAGGUAUCUCCCCUGGCCCUACACUAAGUAAGUCAUUUAUUUAUUCAGGACAUACUUCAGUCGCUUUGUGGUCAAGCACUAACAUCUGACUGUAUUUGCCGCAUGCUACUCUAAUAACACUUCACAAUGGAGAUUAUUUGUAGUUUCACCGGCUUUCCAUUGUUGUUCUACGAUUGGGCUGCAUAAUUUCUUUAUUGGUUGCCGAGUUAUUUAGCUGGAGCGUCUGCUUUUCCCCUUCUCCAUUCUCUCUAUAUAAAUCACACUACCAUACUUCAGCUAAGUGUCUGUCAUGGUCUUUAUAGUCUCACCUGGGAAUGAUUAUUUCAUUGCUACUUUAUGUCGCCAUCAGAUUAUUUCAGCUUUAAGAUCUCACUAUUGUCCACACCUACAAAUGCCAACUUAUAGAACCGUUUGUGCGUGAGCUGACAAUAGUAAAUAGAGCAAAGAGAUUCAUGGUCAUCUAAAGAAGGCCUAGCCUUGAUUAGGCUAUCUAGAUGAAAUUAUUUUUUCUCGAACUCUGGCACGUCCUCAAGUUAAAAAGAGAGUAAAUUUGUUCUUAUCAACAAAUGCUUUAUGUUGUGUAAAGCUGUAUAAUAUUACGAGGGAGACGUAAAUUCUUAAGACCAGGCAUGACUCAUGAUUGACUUGUAUUACGCUUGCCAGUGUUGGCAAAAUAUGCAUCGAAAUUGGGUAGUACAAUGAAAUCGGAUCGAGUAAAACAACUCGGACUUUGAGGCGUGAUAUCACUUUCUUUAAGAAUUUAUUUGCCCCCACAACGUUGCUAAUGGUCACCGACAAAAAUCCUCCAGGAUACAACAAAAUCUCGGAUGAGAAUACUAAAUAGCAAUUCUAGUAUUUCUCCAGGGUCUCUCUAAGAAAACAAUCGAAAAUUUGGCUACAGUUUUUCAGAAAGAAGACUCGAAAAAUGACCACACUUUUCUUUCCAAAAAAUGACAAGUAUAUAUAUGAAACAGUCUUGCAACUCUUCGUGAAAAUUGCGAACAAACAUUUUUUAAAUAGCAAGGGAUUAAGUGCUAAGUGCUAAGUACGCCAAAAUCGCGCAAUUAUUCGCGCACCCACUGCGGGUAUGGUGGGGUCUAGCCCUACCUAAUCACUCCUUUAACUACAAAAGGGAAAUCCCACUUUUUUAAACUGACCCUCCUACUCCCACUUUUUCUAUGUGGGACAAAGUAAAAAGCACUCAUUUUGUUUUAACAAACAAAAUUCCAACAGCCAGAACAGUGUGGUAUCAUAGGUGGAGCAUAUUUCUAUUUGCUUUGUAUGUUUAUUUGUCAAUUUCAGCUAAACAUCACUCUAAGGUUGUACAGUUUAACAAUUUCCCUCACUGCAUGCAGAAUCUUGAUCCAUGGAAUGUGAAAAUGAAACAGUUUAAGAGAUACGAGUGACCCAGCAUUUUGUAGUGGCAUAUCCACUUUUUUCACUAAUUAUAUCAUGACGUCAACUAAAUUCAUCAAACUGAAGGUCUAAAAAGAGUGAAAAAGUUAGGUUUUUAUUUGUUGAAGUUGAAAAUUUGCAUCUCAAAAUGCAAUUCAAUCAAAAUAUAUGGACUUAUUGUAAUUUACCCUAUUUUGAGAGAAUCUAGUUUCUUUUGAGGGAAUUUAAGCGAUUUUAUGUCCAUUGACUUUUGAGGAGCUUCUGUGGAUGGAGAUAGAGCUGGAAAUGUAUUGCUAACUUUUAGCUCGAUUAGAGUAUCCUUUAGUUGUUAAUACUUGUCUUUCAAUCAUUGCAGGUGGAGUGCUUCUAGAUGGGGUAAGACUAACUAAUGUUCCAAAAAAUAAAUGAUGCAUCCAUGAUUAGCAAUACAUGCACAUGCUGUGUUGAGAUGGACGUGUGAAUUGUGUUAGAAAAAGUCCAACAAC